GUUUCCACCUUUAAUGUGGGUGGGCACUAUCCAGCCUGCUGGGGGUCUGGAGAAAAAAAACAAACCUGUCUAUCUGUUAGAACUGAGAUGCACUCUUUUUCUGCUGUCCUUGGACAGCAACUCCAGACUCCAUGGCCUUUUUAUUCUUUUUUUUUUUUUUUCUUGAGACAGAGUCUCGCCCUGUCGCCCAGACUGGAGUGCAAUGGCGUAAUCUCGGCUCACUGCAAUCUCCAUCUCCCUGAUUUAAAUGAUUGUCCUGGCUCAGCCUCCUGAGUAGUUGGGAUUACAGGCACCUGCCACCAUGCCUAGCUAAUUUUUAUAUUUUUAGUAGAAACGGGGCUUCACCAUGUUGGCCAGGCUGGCCUUGAACCCCUGACCUCGUGAUCUGCCCACCUCGGCCUCCCAAAGUGCUGGGAUUCCAGGAGUGAAUCAUCAUGCCCGGCCUUGCCUUUAUAUUCCAAGACUUACACAAGUACCAAGUCUCUCCUGGAUGUUCACACCUUUGGCUUUGGACUGAGAGUUACAUCUUCAACUUCUUUCGUUCUGAGGACUUUGGACUUGGACUGAGCUACACUACCAGCAUCUCAUCCUCCACCUUGCAGGAAAUCUGUUGCAGGUCUUCUCAACCACCAUAAUCAGAACUACCCUGGAAGCUCCCUCAAAGAAUACAUCCUGGUUUGACUAUCCUAAACUGUUGGAAGUGCAUUAAAUUGUAAAUGACUGCUGAAUGUCAUUCCUUGCCAGUUGCUUCUGACCAUGAUUUGAUAGAUAUUCCACCUCAUCUUAGACAUCUAUUAGAAACAGUAGACCAUGAUCCUAUUUCUUACAUCUCCGUGUAAAAUAGCUGUUGGACUCUCUGAGUAUCUACCCCAUCUGCAUUACCACGACAGUCACUCGGUCAUUCCAAGGAUAGACAAAUGUUGUCCAGUGAGUGUCUGGAUAACACAGGGUAGAUUGAUGGCCUUUAGGCAGUUUUUUUUUUUUUUUAAAUCAAGCACUAAAUGUAAUUAUUCUAACUUAAUUGGAAACUCUAAGGUUUACCAGCCAGAGAGAGGCCAUGUUCACUGUGCCAUCAACUAGUACUUCCUGAGUGAUGUAGGUAUACUCGGUAGAUCUCCAACAUAAUUAACUUUCCCUUUAGGGACACCAUAUACAUCCCUGCGGCUGUACUUACGGGAAGCCAGAAAUUAAGUUGCUUCCCUCCCAGAAACAUGGUAAUUGCACCUAAGGGGUGAUAGCGUGAUAGUGAAAGACUUUUAAUUGUUUAAGAAAACACGACAGUAGAUUAUGUAGCCUUCAAAUAAAUGCUUAGAUAGCUAAAAAAUGAGGUUAUGCUUGGUUACUUGGUGCAUUUGGCUGAAUGAUGACCCCCCUUCCCCAAAUAUAUAUCCAUAUUCUGAUACUUAGAGCCUGUGAAUGCCACAUUAUUUUCUGAUAAAACGGGUCUUGGCAGAUGCUUGAGAUAAGGAUAUCAUUUGUAUUAUCUAUGUGAGCCCUAAAUGAUUAAUGACAAGGGUUCUUAUAAAAGAGAGGUGGAAAAAUAUUCGAGAGACAGAAAGGAGAAGGUAAUGUGACCACAGAGACAGAGAUAGCGGUGAGUCCACUGCAAGCCAAAGAAAAACUGGAACUUUCAAAAGCUGGAAGAGGCAAGAAACAGAUUAUUCCCUAGAGCAUGUGGAGGAAGCAUUUUCCUACCAACAAAUUGACUUUGGACUUUUGCUUUUAGGAACUGUAAGAUAAUACAUUUUUGUUGCUUUAAGCUGCAAAAUAUAGCAGCCAGAGAAAAUGAAUACAUUUGAGAAAGCUUCCCAGAAAAUAAAUGACUCAUAAAUUUCGUUUCUUACAUAAAGUUAUCUCAAAGAAGGAAGUAAUUUAAUUAGAAAGUUCAUAUGAAAUUUGUUACUGGCUUUAGCAAAGUAAUUAAUGACACAACCUUGGCUCCUGGAGGUAUUCAGGUCAUCCCCUACUCUCUGGGCAAAGAUGUCAUGGAUGAUAGGUUUGCUCUAACUUCCUCCUUGCAAACCAAGACAGUGGCUAGAAAAUUGCUAAUGCAUCUUGCUGCACCAGGAGUGAUGCCUUCUGCUAAGUAGAAAGAUCCCAAUAUAAUUAAUAAACCUAAGUAGAAAGCCACUUGGCUUUCUAGGGUAGAUACUGAUGGUUUCUGGGUUUGUUCACCAGAUUGGAUUCUGGACCCUGAGGUACAUACUAAAAUCAAUAUGGCAGGAAUCUUGUUGAUAAUAGUCUUGAUUAAACACUGAAUGGACAAACUGAACAAAUUUGGUCCCAGCUUCUGUUUUCAGAUUAAUCAGAGUGGUCAAUGGAAUAGUGUACUCAUGGGAAAAGUCACUGGAAGUCAAGAUGGUACAGCAACAAGGAGCCUCUUCUGCAAGCAUAAAUGAAACUGCGGCAAGCUAGCUUGUAAGCUUGCAAGUCAGGUAAAAUUGAAGUUCCUCAGAUCCUUCACUGUUCUUGCUACCGUACAGCAGUCCAAAAGGGAUGAACUUCAUUUAUGCAUAUCAUAUCUCGUUAAGAAACUGCUAAUAAAAAAAGUGAUUGAAAACAUCAAAAGGACAAAUUUUUUAAACCUUUUUUUCUCUUUUUUCUGAAAAUACAAUUUACAUCUGUUAGAUAUACCAUUUUGAUUAAUAUAAAUCUUACUAAAUUUAGUCCACUUGGGAUGCUAUUUUUUGCAUGUUUGUGUCCUCUCCAAAAUUCAAGUUAAAAUUUAAGCCCUAAUGCAAUAGUAUUAAGAGGAGGGGCCUUUAGAAGGAAAUUAGGCCAUGAGGGCUCUGCCCUCAUAGAUGGGAUUAGUGCCUUAUAAAUGAGCGAAGGGAGAACUAGUUAGGCCUUUUUGCUCUUUCAUCCUUUUCACCAUGUGAGUAAGGACACAACAUUAGUCUCUUCCAGAGGAUACAUCAACAAGGUACCAUCUUGGAAGCAGAGACAGGACCCUCACCAGAUACCAAACCUGCCGGUCCCUUGGUCUUAGACUUUCAGCCUCCAGAACUGUGAGAAAUAAAUUUCUGUUCUUUAUAAAUUAUCUACUUUAAGGUAUUUUGUCAUAGCAGCACAAAUGGACUAAGACAUGGAGUGAUUAAGUGUUACGGCAGAAGUAUAGAGCAGGUUGUUUUCUCUGGAAUUACAUAUGAGGGGCCAAGAGCAGUUAUGUGGUGGCGUGUGGGAGGGAGGAAAGUGUCAAUUGCUGAAAGCUUCCUGACUGUUGUUACAAAAAUUUUACAUAUUGUGACACCAUAUCUUCUGGAGAUAUACAGAAUCUAAUCAGCCAUCAUUUAAAAAUAUAUAAAAUUUAUGACAAGAAUGUUAAAAUAAUGUAUUAUAUACUAGAGUAACAAACAUAUUAGUUGAGUUCCAUCAAGACAUAUAGCAACAGGAGGUUUGAGGGUUAGACUGUCACAUGAAUUAUGAAGUAUCCACUAUAAGACUACUCUUUUUUGACUUGAAAUCACUUAUGGUUGUAGACAUGGUAGAGGACAUUUCAUCAUGGCAGUUAACACGUACAAAAACUGCACCAGAGAUUUGUUCCUUAGCUUUUACAACCUGCCUUAAAUUUCUGGCAAGUAUGCAGCACAAAUCAUUGGAGGUGUUAUCUUCAGAACUUUUAUGAGACUUGUAUUAAUUUUAUAUUGCUUCUGUAACAUAUUAUUACUAAUUGAGUGGUUUAAACAAGAGAAAAUUAUUAACAGUAUUUUAUAGUUCUGCAGGUCAGUAGUACCACACAGGCCUCAUGAAGCUCAUAUCAAACAUUAGCAGGGCUGAAUUUUUUUCUGUUGAGUUUCAGGGAGAAUCCAUUUCCAUAUGCAUUCAGGUUGUUGGCAAAAUUCUGUUUCUGUGAUUAUAAAACUGGGUUUCAGCUGAGGGACAUUCCCAGCUUUUAGACACCUACAGUUUUUGGCUUGUGCCAUCCUCCUAUUUUUAAAGUCAGAAAAAGUGGAUUGAGUCCUUCUCCUGUCAUAUCUUUCUAAUCCUUCUUCUCUUGUUAUAUGUCUCUCUGACCCAGCCAGGAAAGCUUCUUCCUUCUAAGGAUUUAUGUGAUUAGAUUGGGUCAAACCAGAACAUUUCAAAGUCCAUACCCUUAAUCACAUCUGCAAAAUCUCUGUUGCCAUGGAAGAUAAAUAUUCACAGGUUCCAGAGAUUAGAGUGUGAACAAACAGGAGGAAUGGGUGUCCUCUGUUUGUAGUCCUCUGCAUAGCAGAGGACUACAUAAUUGUUCCUUGGUGGUUUUGUGUAUGUUACUCACAGAAAGAUUUAAAAUUCAGUACAGAAAUAACAAAAUUGAUUGCAUACAUAAGGACUGCUUUUAUGUUAAGGAAUAUUCUAUGAAUAUUUGGUAUUAUUAACAUUUACUAUACUUGAGAGAAUUUAGCUUAAUUGAGUAACAGCUCUUCUGAAAAUAUUUUAUGCCAUUUGUUAUGUGUAAUUAUUAUUAUAAAUUGAAAUUUUAGUCAGGUUAUAUACUUUACUAGAGCAC
rnacentral:lncRNA from 1 species